UUCACUUUCCAUCCUACCUUGUACGAGCAGUGUGAGAUUUCAUAUCUAUUUAAACGAGUGCUGGGUUGGUUGAAUGAUUGUACGUGUCUGAGCGAACGUGAAUGUAUUGUGUUUUGUGUGUACCUAUUUGUGGGGAUUUCUUGUGUGUGUAAGUGUGGCUAGCUGUCAUUCGUGAGGGCGCAUGCGCGCGCAUGUUCGUGGGUUCGUGAGGUUCAUGCGUCAACAAACGUUCACAUCAUAUCAAUAACAAAUGAAGUUAUACUUACAUUUAGUGGUGAUCAACACAAAACACGAGGGGAGUUUUGCUAUUGAACUUUUAAUAGGUCACAUAUGCGACAAAACAAAAACGUGAGCAAUAGGAUACGGAAUAUACCACAUAAAGAAACGUGUAAUGCUUGAAAUUCAUUGUAAAGACAACAUAAAGAGGGUUUGGUGCAAGGUAAAGAAAAAUCAUGGGCACAUGAAAUAUAUACACAGAAAAGAUGGCACACAUGAUGUAUAAGGACGAUGAAUAAAGUGGAAUCAUAAUUAGUCAAAUUAGUGCAACGGUAAAGGUUAAGAAGCCACGGAAUUGGUAAUGACGACGCUAAUGAGGGAGAGAACAAUUAAACCGCAUGAUAUCAACUAGACAUCCUGCUGGCUGAGACAGAGUUAACGAGUGUGGAGCCUGAAGGACCGCAGAAUGGGUCCUACGCGCCCGAUAUAAGGGAAAGGCGGAGAUCUGGAGGGGACUCUCCGUCUCUGGCUAUCUGACUGGUUGCAAUCGCUGGUUGAUUUGAAGUAAGCACCGUUUUCCUGCGAACAGACCAUUCUUUUCCUUCCUUUCUUUUCUUUCGACUAACUUUCCGGUUACUGUUGCCGCCAAGUCACCCUCUCUAUAACUCAACGUCUUCGCCGCUACAAUAUGGUCGCUCAACGCGAUCGACAUAAUGGUGAUCCACUUCGCACUGCCAGAAAUUCGUCCUCAUGGAAUUUGUAGCUCAUGCCAAAAAGAAAUUGAUUUUCCGCUUUACAUGCAGCAUUCCUGCUUAUGGUCAGCUACAGGGACGCCAUCUUUCAGUGACCAGGUGGAUUGGUCGAACGAAUGCCGCCGGCCGAGAAUUACACAGCUGAGAAAAUGGAGCGAACAAUGACGGUAAGAAUAAUUUAUAGUAAUAACGUUUAUAUUUGUAAUAAUUUUAUAUUUGAUGU